rnacentral:tRNA from 1 species
GUUAAUUUAGUUUAAAGAAAACAUCAAAUUGUGAUUUUGAAAAUAAAGAAUUUUUAAUUAACA